rnacentral:pre_miRNA from 1 species
UGAACACGAUAUUUGUAUGGAAUGGGAUCGUUUGCGUACGUUUGCCGCUAGGGGCGCUGUUCCAACUGCAUACAAAAUUGGCUUA